UUUUACUAAAAUAGUCCAAGAUUUGGAUUUCCCGAAUUUAUAAGAGCUAUCAAAGAAUUUAUUUUGGUCUUACAUGUAGCUAGGGGCUGUGGCAUCAGCCCAUGAAAAUUUUUUGAUAGGGGUGAAACACCUUCACUUAUUAUGUUAGCUGGAUAGUAAUAAAAUAUAUUAAGUGUAUUCUACAAAUCUGUUAGGUUAUAAGAUCUAGCAGGAGAAAGUUAUGCUUAUAUCAGAAUCGUCUUUACUGUCUAAACCACAGGAAAGUAUUUAGGGUUAACAAUUAAUCUAGCUAAUAUAUUUCCUUACAAUUACUUAGGAAGGCCAAUAAAUCAACCUAACUAGAUAAUGUAAAAAUUAGUAAAUAUAGGAAUAAUAUAAAAGGAACUCGGCAAAUAGUCUUCUGGCCUGUUUACCAAAAACAUAGCGGCAUGAUAUUAAUAUGCGGUGUAAUCUGCCCAGUGAGUAAUUUAAACGGCCGCAGUACUUUGACUGUGCUAAGGUAGCAUAAUAAUUUGGCUUUUAAUUGAGGUCUGGUAUCAAAGAAUUUACUAGGAGAUACUGUCUCUUAUAUUAUAUUUGGAAAUUAAUUAAUAAGUGAAAAUGCUUAUAAGAAAAAAAUUAGACGAGAAGACCCUUAGAAUUUUAAGAAAUCAGCACUGGAAAAGGCUCAUGCUUUUUGUUGGGGCAACAUAUUUUCAUAGAAAUAAAAUAACUUUAACUUUAUACACCGAUUAUAUAUAGAUACAAAAAUUACCUUAGGGAUAACAGCAUAAUUUUAAUAAAAAGUUUGUGACCUCGAUGUUGGACUAGGGACGGUAAGCGCGAGAUGUGUUUACCGACGGUUCUGUUCGAACGUUUUCUCCUACAUGAUCUGAGUUCAGACCGG
rnacentral:rRNA from 1 species